GUGGGGAAUAUUGCACAAUGGAGGAAACUCUGAUGCAGCAACGCCGCGUGAGUGAAGAAGGUUUUCGGAUCGUAAAGCUCUGUCUUCUGGGACGAUAAUGACGGUACCAGAGGAGGAAGCCACGGCUAACUACGUGCCAGCAGCCGCGGUAAUACGUAGGUGGCAAGCGUUGUCCGGAUUUACUGGGCGUAAAGGAUGCGUAGGCGGAUAUUUAAGUGAGAUGUGAAAUACCCAGGCUUAACCUGGGAACUGCAUUUCAAACUGGAUAUCUGGAGUGCAGGAGAGGUAAGUGGAAUUCCUAGUGUAGCGGUGAAAUGCGUAGAGAUUAGGAAGAACACCAGUGGCGAAGGCGACUUACUGGACUGUAACUGACGCUGAGGCAUGAAAGCGUGGGGAGCAAACAGGAUUAGAAACCCCAGUAGUCC
rnacentral:rRNA from 1 species